UACGGAGGGUGCGAGCGUUGUCCGGAAUCAUUGGGCGGAAAGGGCGCGUAGGCGGUUUGGUAAGUCUGAUGUGAAAUCUAUGGGCUCAACUCAUAGUCUGCAUCGGAAACUGCCGGGCUUGAGUGUGGGAGAGGUGAGUGGAAUUCCUGGUGUAGCGGUGAAAUGCGUAGAUAUCAGGAGGAACACCUGUGGCGAAAGCGGCUCACUGGACCAUAACUGACGCUGAUGCACGAAAGCUAGGGGAGCAAACAGG
rnacentral:rRNA from 1 species